CUAGCUAAACUAUCAGUCCUUACAAGUACAUGCUGCCGCUUUGAAAAACAAAAUACUCUUUCCACUAGGGAACUAAAAAGGGAAAUAUUUCAGGGAGAAAAAAAGUAAAUCUCAUAGUAAGGAACAGAAUGCACAAACAGAUGUAGAUAUGAUCAAGUUUGUAGUUUUAGUUGUCUUAUAUAAGUUUGGUUAGAAUCGUAACAACAAUAAGUCAUCUCAAAGGUAUCCUAAAGUGAAUAUGGACAGGCGUCUCUAUUGAAGAUCCUGAGAAGAGUAGAAGCUCCCCCUGAUGUAUCCUGCUCCAGAAAAUAUCUUGCCAUUAGAACUUUUGAAAGAUUUUUUUUUCUGACCAAUUUGCUACAAUUUCCUCCAUGGGCCUUAAAAUCCUCCCUCCUUUCAACUGUGUCUUCCAUCCAUGGUACGGAGCUGUUAGUUUUCCACAUGAACUUCAAAAAUCUAUCCAUCAGCUUCUACUCAGCGGACUGUAUUCUGGAUAAAUCAGCUUGACGCCUCAAUCAUUCCCCAAAUUCAUCUGAUCAAUACAAGUGACUCUCAACAACAAAUCAACGUUUUUAGUAUCUGUAUAUAUUUAGCAGCUAACUAUGGAAAACUCAUAAGGAGACAAUGUUGUCAAAGUAAAAUGAUUUCUGGAAAAGUGACUGAAGGUACCUGAAUCCAGGAAGAAUGUAGCAUGUACAAAUUAAUAAAGGUAAUGAAUAGCCUGUGAAUAUUGUUACCACAUCAGCAUUAGGAAGAAAGCCAGACACAAAACAGAAGAGGUUAAGGAGAACUCCACAAAGCCUACAAAGACUGCCUUGCUGCUCUAUCUUAUAAUUAGAUUUCAAGCCAAAGAGUUUGAAUCUGGGAAACUGCAUAAAAACACUUUAUGUCAAAAAAUAUGAAGCGUUUCCAAUGCAACAUACAAAGGACACCACAUGCUGAUGACCGAUCAUCCUUCGCUCACCAGCCAGGAGACCACUGCAGAGGCCCCUCUGCCUCCCGGCUAGAGCUUGGGACAAACCAACCUGGGUGGGUGAAGUUUAUUAGGAAGAAAUUUCCCCCGGAAGUCUCAAUUCUAUGGUGAGACCCCAACUUCCUGCACUCUAGCCUGGGUGUUAGCAAGUAGUCUGUCUUUCAAAGUGUCCCUAACGCAAGCGUCGGAAAACUACCAUCAGCAGACCAAAC
ensembl:lncRNA